GAAAAGGUUUAAGUGAUAAAAAGUCUCUUGGUUUGAAGUCCAAGGUUUUUUAAGAAAAGAGUGUAAUGAAAUCACUUGGUUUAAAAUCCAAGAGUUUG